rnacentral:rRNA from 1 species
UAUGCUUAGGGCUACACACGUGCUACAAUGGGUAGUACAGAGGGUUGCCAAGCCGUAAGGUGGAGCUAAUCCCUUAAAGCUACUCUCAGUUCGGAUUGUAGGCUGAAACUCGCCUACAUGAAGCUGGAGUUACUAGUAAUCGCAGAUCAGAAUGCUGCGGUGAAUGCGUUCCCGGGUCUUGUACACACCGCCCGUCACACCACGGGAGUUGGAGACGCCCGAAGCCGAUUAUCUAACCUUUUGGAAGAAGUCGUC